AGGCUCACAUUUCGGACGUCUCGGUCCUGGCCUUUUUGUGAACUCCUCGAGUGUAUAAUCGAACAGUCUUGCUGCCCUCUGCUGCUACCCCUAGUUUUAAGGCGCUAGAACCUACGAGCCGGUGAAGCCUUGUGUUGUUUGUGUGCUGUCCGGAAUCAGCUAGAAGUGAUCUUCUUUUCCUUUUGUAUCAAACGAAACUUGAAAGGAUAUUUUGAUAUUUAGAUGCUGUUCAUUUACUGGUUAAAUCAGGUUUGAGCCUGGGGCGGCUCGGUUCUUGCUUUACUGGAUGCGCGCAUGGGUCUCUUUUUGUGGGGACCAUGGAGGGUGUCUUUGAUUCAUAGCAUUUUCGAAACGCAAAAAUACAAAAGCGGGUCAUGUCCUUGAAUUCUGUAGGUUAGACAUGCAUAUAGAUUUCAGUGAUGAAAAUUAAUUAUGGAUUGAUUUGAGGAUGGAAUUUUUCAUCAACAUAGUGCAAAUCCUCCCCCGGUAGGGAAAACUUACCUCCUUCGAGAUCUACGGAAAGCUAGGAGGCUGUCCCGUCCAAAUGCGGGCCGUAUGCCGGCCCUCCCAAUUGUGCAGACGCGCCGUGGAGACAUGCUCUUCCACCACCCACGGGCUGCUUGGACAGAGGGAGAUGGGCUCGGAGAAGAUAGCCUGGUUUAUUUGUCUAGAUAGAAUACUGGUCCAUGAAUGAAUUAUUUGGCGACUUGUCUGGUUUGAAGACAUCGUCAUAGCAUUUUCUCUUCUUUUUUUUGGUUAAUUAACUAACGGACUGUUUACGUUUCAGUUGUUCAGAUUUAUGAGCGCUAAAAUUAUUUUAUUUUUGGAUGGAUUAUUUUUUCCAAGUUUCUAUAGUUCUCAUGUUUCCCCCUUGGUAUUGGAAUUUACGAGUAACUUUUUUUAUUAGGGGAUGAAUUAUAUUUUAUAAGUUUCUAAAGUACUCCUGUGCCGUAAUUCAAUUUAUACCUUCUUUUUUCUUGAAGUUUGAACGACAUCCCUCCAUUCCAAUGAAUAAUCCGUGCACGCCUCCUAAAAUCCAACUUUGCCCAACAAUUAGAUUAAUAAUAUAUAUUUUUGUGACUUCAAAAUUGUACCUCUAAAAUUUCUUUUCAAUACGAAUUCAACAAUAUAAUUUUUAUCACAUAUAAUCCAAAUUUUGGUAGGUCUAAUUUAUGGUCAAAGUUUAAUUUUAGGGUAUGUACGUUAUACAUUGAAAUGGUGGCAGUAGUUAUACGUCAGCGUCUCAUAAGGCAAAACUGUCGGGGAACGCAGUAUUUUAAAAAAUUUCCUACGGUCACGCAAGAUCUAUCUAGGAGAUGCAUAGCAACGAGAUGGGAGAGUGUGUCCACGUACCCUCGUAGACCGAAAGCGGAAGCGUUUAGUAACGCGGUUGAUGUAGUCGGACGUCUUCACGAUCCAACCGAUCCAAGCACCGAAUGUAUGGCAUCUCCGUUGUAACACCCUGAGGAUCAUGCUACAAUAACUCUCUGUGAUUAAGCUAAUCAUGUUGCUAAACAGGGCAUGAUCACAUAUGGAAUCGCAUUUCUUUUCAAACUCCUAAUUCAAACUUCAAUUAAAAUUAAAGUGGAAAAUAAAAGUUUUCAAAAAUUUAAACAAAAAUGUUCGGUGGGUGCCAAAUAAUACACUGGUAAUUAUGGUGGAGAAAACACAUUUUUAUAAAAUAUCUAAAUACUUUUAAAUGAAAUAAAACAGAAAAGAAAAUAAACAAAUAAAAAGAAAAUGCAAAAAAACACAGACAAAGAAAAAGAAAAAAAGGAGAAGGCCCCCCCCCCCACAGCACCCCUGGCCCAACUGGGCCGACCCCCGGCCCAGCCCACCUCUCCCACUCGCCCCCCUUCCCUGUUCCCCCGACCGGGGUCGGAACAGGGGCAGUCCCCGACNNNNNNNNNNNNNNNNNNNNNNNNNNNNNNNNNNNNNNNNNNNNNNNNNNNNNNNNNNNNNNNNNNNNNNNNNNNNNNNNNNNNNNNNNNNNNNNNNNNNNNNNNNNNNNNNNNNNNNNNNNNNNNNNNNNNNNNNNNNNNNNNNNNNNNNNNNCCCCGCUCUCCUCUCGGCCCCUGCGCCUCUCUCUUCCCCCCCAGAUCCGCGCCGCUCUCUCCUUCCCCACGCCCGAGGCGGUCGCCGCCGUUCCCGUCGUUCACACGGCCACCGUGCCCACCUCGCCGCCCCACGUUGUCUCCAAGGACCGCCGUCGCCCGCUGCUUCGUCUGGUGCAGCCCGUUGGAGACCGGAGCCCCUACAACGAGCACACCGAGCUCGUCUUCGACUUCGGACGCCGGCGACCCCCCUUCUUCCCCGGCGCCGACCUGCUGCUCCUAAGCCCCUCACCGGCCUCCGUGUGCCGCGCGGUGAGCCUCUCCCCCUCCUCCCCUGUCCUCUCUCUCUCUCGCGCGCCCCCUAGCGGCGUCCCCACGCGCGCCCGAACGCCGCGCCGCGGAGCUCGUCGCCGGCGGGUCUCCGGUGACCAUUUGGUCAUGGGCGUAGGCCCGUUAGCUCGACCGCAUCGUGCCGCACCCGCCUAGCUAGUUAGUUCGGCCGCUCGCGCGCUCUAACGCCGCACCCGCCCCAGCCCGAAGCACUUCGACGCCGGCGAGCUCGUAGCNNNNNNNNNNNNNNNNNNNNNNNNNNNNNNNNNNNNNNNNNNNNNNNNNNNNNNNNNNNNNNNNNNNNNNNNNNNNNNNNNNNNNNNNNNNNNNNNNNNNNNNNNNNNNNNNNNNNNNNNNNNNNNNNNNNNNNNNNNNNNNNNNNNNNNNNNNNNNNNNNNNNNNNNNNNNNNNNNNNNNNNNNNNNNNNNNNNNNNNNNNNNNNNNNNNNNNNNNNNNNNNNNNNNNNNNNNNNNNNNNNNNNNNNNNNNNNNNNNNNNNNNNNNNNNNNNNNNNNNNNNNNNNNNNNNNNNNNNNNNNNNNNNNNNNNNNNNNNNNNNNNNNNNNNNNNNNNNNNNNNNNNNNNNNNNNNNNNNNNNNNNNNNNNNNNNNNNNNNNNNNNNNNNNNNNNNNNNNNNNNNNNNNNNNNNNNNNNNNNNNNNNNNNNNNNNNNNNNNNNNNNNNNNNNNNNNNNNNNNNNNNNNNNNNNNNNNNNNNNNNNNNNNNNNNNNNNNNNNNNNNNNNNNNNNNNNNNNNNNNNNNNNNNNNNNNNNNNNNNNNNNNNNNNNNNNNNNNNNNNNNNNNNNNNNNNNNNNNNNNNNNNNNNNNNNNNNNNNNNNNNNNNNNNNNNNNNNNNNNNNNNNNNNNNNNNNNNNNNNNNNNNNNNNNNNNNNNNNNNNNNNNNNNNNNNNNNNNNNNNNNNNNNNNNGUUUGGCUCGUCGGAGUUGCUCCGGCGCCGGCCGCCGACGUGGCUGGCCUGGGGCCCCCCCAGUGCCACUGCCAGUGGGCCCCGUGGGCCCCGUUGACUGGGUCCACCCAGUCAACGUGCUGACUGGGCAGGCCCAGCCACUGACAUGCGGGCCCCGCCGCAAAAAUUAAAAACAAAAACAAAAAGAAAAAUGUUUUAUAAAUAAAAAUAAUUAGAUUAACUAAUCACUCACUGACAUAUGGGGCCCACCCCUCUAAUUAGACUGUUAGUUUAGUUUAAAUUAAUAUUAGACUAACAGAGGCUGACAUGUGGGUCCCACUGGACCCACCUAUCUGGUUUGACUGGUCAGCCGACCUGUUGACCUGCUGACGUCAGCAUUGCCUCAUGCUGACGUCAUAAUUCAUUUUUGCUUAAUUCAAAUAAUUCCAGAAAUUCAAAUAAACUUUGAAAAUUCAUAUCUUUUAAACCGUAACUCGGAUGAAAAUGUUUUCUAUAUGAAAGUUGCUCAGAACGACGAGACGAAUCCGAAUACGCAGUCCGUUCGUCCACCACACCUCCCUAACCUAUCGAACUAGCAACUUUCCCCCUCCGGUCCGUCUGUCCGAAAACGCGAAACAUCGGGAAUACCUCCCGGUUGUUUCCCCCCUUCACCGGUACCAUCUACUGUCGCGUUAGGUCACACCUAGCACCGCUCAUUGUCAUGUCACGCAUCGUCAUGCUUAUGUUUGCAUUGUAUUUACUGUUUCUUCCCCCUCUUCUCUCCGGUAGACUACGAGACCGACACUGCUGCUGCCCAGUUCAACUACGGAGUCGACGACCCCUCCUACUUGCCAGAGCAACCAGGCAAGCCCCCCCUUGAUCACCAGAUAUCGCCUAUGCUUCUCUAUACUGCUUGCAUUAGAGUAGUGUAGCAUGUUACUGCUUUUUGGUAUCCUAUCCUGAUGCAUAGCCUAUCCUUGCUACUACUGUUGAUACCUGUACCUGCAAUCCUACAUGCUUAGUAUAGGAUGCUAGUUUUCCAUCAGUGGCCCUACAUUCUUGUCCGUCUGCUGUGCUAUACUAUCGGGCCGUGAUCACCUGGGCGGUGAUCACGAGUAUAUACUUAUAUACUAUAUACAUGACACAUGAGAUGACUAAAGUCGGGUCGGCUCGUAGGAGUACCCGCGAGUGGAUCUUUGUGGCGGAGCGACAGGGCAGGUUGAGACCGCCUAGGUGAGAGGUGGGCCUGGCCCUGGUCGGCGUUCGCGGUUACUUAACACGCUUAACGAGAUCUUGGUAUUUGAUCUGAGUCUGGCCAUUUGGUCUAUACGCACUAACCAUCUACGUGGGAGUAGUUAUGGGUAUCCCGACGUCGUGGUAUCAGCCGAAGCUCUUUUGACGUCAGCAACUGAGUGGCGCGCGCCGAAUUGGACCGUAAGCUCGCGCUUGUAUUAAGGGGGCUAGGUCUGCUUCCGGCCGCGUACGCAACGUGCAGGUGUGCAUAGGGCGAUGGGCCCAGACCCCUGCGCGCAUAGGUUUAGACCGGCGUGCUGACCUCUCUGUUGAGCCUAGGUGGGGCUGCGACGUGUUGAUCUUACGAGGCCGGGCACGACCCAGAAAAGUGUGUCCGGCCAAAUGGGAUCGAGCGUGUUGGGUUAUGUGGUGCACCCCUGCAAGGAAGUUUAUCUAUUCGAAUAGCCGUGUCCCUCGGUAAAAGGACGACCCGGAGUUGUACCUUGACCUUAUGACAACUAGAACUGGAUACUGAAUAAAAUACACCCUUCCAAGUGCCAGAUACAACCCGGUGAUCGCUCUCUAACAGGGCGACGAGGAGGGGAUCGCCGGGUAGGAUUAUGCUAUGCGAUGCUACUUGGAGGACUUCAAUCUACUCUCUUCUAUAUGCUGCAAGAUGGAGAUGGCCAGAAGCGUAGUUUUCGACAGGACUAGCUAUCCCCCUUCUUAUUCUGGCAUUCUGCAGUUCAGUCCACUGAUAUGCCCCUUUACACAUAUACCCAUGCAUAUGUAGUAUAGCUCCUUGCUUGCGAGUACUUUGGAUGAGUACUCACGGUUGCUUCUCUCCCUCUUUUCCCCCUUUCCCUUCUAUCUGGUUGUCGCAACCAGAUGUUGGAGUCCAGGAGCCAGACGCCACCGUCGACGGCGACACCUACGACACUGGAGGUGCCUACUACUACGUGCAGGCCGCUGACGACGACCAGGAGUAGUUAGGAGGUCCCAGGCAGGAGGCCUUGCCUUUUCGAUCGUUGCUACUUUUGUGCUAGCCUUCUUAAGGCAAACUUGUUUAACUUAUGUCUGUACUCAGAUAUUGUUGCUUUCGCUGACUCGUCUGUGAUCGAGCACUUGUAUUCGAGCCCUCGAGGCCCCUGGCUUGUAAUAUGAUGCUUGUAUGACUUAUUUUUGUUGUAGAGUUGUGUUGUGAUAUCUUCCCGUGAGUCCCUGACCUUGAUCGUACACAUUUGCAUGCAUGAUUAGUGUACGGUCAAAUCGGGGGCGUCACAAGUUGGUAUCAGAGCCAACUGCCUGUAGGAAUCCCCCUUUCCACACUCCUUGGCCGAAGUCGAGUCUAGUCAUUGAAAAACUUUUAAUAACAUGACUGUGUGGCUUACGGGCCCACGUCGCCAUUGGGUGGUAUUAGGAUCUUUUACUCCUUGCCUAUACUCUGGGACUCUGAUCUCUCUUCCAUUCGGGUUAAAUGAUUUUACUAAAUCUAACAUUAGGAUCUCGUUAACACUUUCACCCGGAGAGCCCCUUAUUACUGAUGAUCGUCUGUUGCACGUGAAGACCAUGAAGAUACUCUACGCUGAUAACCCGAGAACUUGUGUUCAUCGCUUUUUGCAAUUCCCUUUCAUCGAUAAACUCCUAUGGAUAACCACGUAUACUCGCCAUUCAUACAAUGUUUCCCAGAUGAUCUUGUUAUUACAAGAUACCCCGAAAUUCUCUCUGUUGUUCCGAGAAUCCUUUGAGCUUACUACCUUGCUGUCCUUUGUCACCUGAAUACCCCUACGGAUAAUCCUCGCACUUACCGAGUAUCCGCUCAUCCCCAGUUGAUUCAAGUAUUUCACAAAAGUGUUCAAAAUAUCAUUCGAUCUUCCGAAAAUCUUCAGGAGCCUGUUGCUCUUGAAAUUCUUGCUUACUAGCAUUAUGAUUAAUCCCAUAAACCUCGAAAUCUUAUUGGCACCCUUUGUCAUUAUAUUUUUGAGUCCAUUGAUUCAAUAUGUUGCGAAUGCUCGCAAUCCUCAAUCAGAUCCUAGAAUUCAUCCUUCCGGCUCAGACAUCUUUAACAUGAGCUGGAUCUCGACCAAUCAAAUCGUCAUCGAUUGUACCCCUAAGGCUAUUCAACAUAUCCAUCCCUAAUCAGAGCAUUGCUUCUGAUCCCUUGUCUUGGAAUUCAUAAUUCCUUUGCAUUUGAGCUUUUGAGUUAGUCAGUUGUUUCUAUAGUCUGAUCUCCUUGCAUUCUUUCUUCCUCUGGUUGAGUACUGAUGCUCACAUCAGAUCCCUUGGGGACCACCAGCCCCUUUUGUCGGAUUUUAUCCGACAAUGUCCUCCAUAUUAAAUAAGCUGGUGAGCUUUUCCUCGGAUACAUGAUGCCUUUGGUAAAUUGUAUCCUCUGCCUUGUGAACCAUACUCUACUUUCGAGCUUGUAUUAUUUACUCCGAAGUUCGUGGUAUAUGUUCUAAGAAGCCCUGAUGGGUUGAACCUAUGCCUUCCUUAAUAUGUGUGAACUCGAAAGUUUUCACGAGUCAUACUCUCCUGGUAUUUUGCCAUAUAAAAUUUCAACACUACAACUUCAUCGAACGCGAGGAGAAAAUGAAAGGAUAUGCAUUGGAGAAGUGGGAGUCGACCUUGAACUUUGUGUUCAUGCCCAUGGACACAAUGUAGAUCUUAUCAUUAAAAGAUUCUCUUAAAUUAAUUAUUCCCUUGGUAUAAGUUCAUCUUAUAUCUGGGAUCUGGCCUUUUGCAAUCAUGGUUUCGACCAUGUUCUCCUUUAAAUACCAUUUCUUGGACAAGUUAAAUCACUUGUCUUCUGCAGGUCAAUACGCUUGCCCAACCUCUAUUAUGGUCUACCUUUGAGUAUUACCCCUGGUAUCUCGGGGAUAUCUUACCAUUGCACUACAUCUUAUAAACUUUGAUGAAGUACUACCUUACCUUGUCUUUGUCACUUCAUGGGCUCUGGGUUGUUUGUCAACCGAGAACACCGAAUAGUGAAUCAAGUCCGCACUCCGAUUCAAUAACUCUAGGUAAUUUUCGUUGCUUACGAGUUUAAUAAUCAUUAAGUCAUUCCUAGCCUGAUCGGCUAUAUCAUUAGCGUGCUAAAUUUUAACUGUGCUACCUGGUCCUUAACCCCGGAGCACAACUUUCGAUGAUGAGCUAAGCUUACGCCGAUCUUCCUCUCAUACCAUUUCACCUUGAACAACAAGCUUGAUUUCAAGCGUGUGUCCUACCCAUGGUUCCAAUAACCGUCUGCUUCAUCAUUCCUUUGACUUGAUGUCGUCGCUGAUUGAUUACAUCUUCAUGAAAUCUCUCGACAAAUGUGUCGUGAUCAUCAUCAACCUUAUGNNNNNNNNNNNNNNNNNNNNNNNNNNNNNNNNNNNNNNNNNNNNNNNNNNNNNNNNNNNNNNNNNNNNNNNNNNNNNNNNNNNNNNNNNNNNNNNNNNNNNNNNNNNNNNNNNNNNNNNNNNNNNNNNNNNNNNNNNNNNNNNNNNNNNNNNNNNNNNNNNNNNNNNNNNNNNNNNNNNNNNNNNNNNNNNNNNNNNNNNNNNNNNNNNNNNNNNNNNNNNNNNNNNNNNNNNNNNNNNNNNNNNNNNNNNNNNNNNNNNNNNNNGCUCUUCCAGGAUAUCGAUUGAGUUCAUGAUGAGAAAUACCAUCCUUGCCCUCGAUGAUCUGUGUUAUCAUCGACCACUUUAUUGCCUUCCCUCCAACACAAGCUUGUUCGUGUUUGGUGUUAUACCUUGAGUUCCUUGCUAUCCAGCAAUUGUUCUUCUUUACCUUGGAGUAUUACCAUCUUUUAUGUCAAGUAUGUCGUAAGAAUUUCACCACCUCGCAUGACAUCUUGGUACAGUGAUACUUCUCCCCAUCACCAUUCCUUCUUGGUCCCCGUGUUGUUUCUAAAAGGAAUACCAACAAAUGGUCUGUGGUGUGUAAAUUNNNNNNNNNNNNNNNNNNNNNNNNNNNNNNNNNNNNNNNNNNNNNNNNNNNNNNNNNNNNNNNNNNNNNNNNNNNNNNNNNNNNNNNNNNNNNNNNNNNNNNNNNNNNNNNNNNNNNNNNNNNNNNNNNNNNNNNNNNNNNNNNNNNNNNNNNNNNNNNNNNNNNNNNNNNNNNNNNNNNNNNNNNNNNNNNNNNNNNNNNNNNNNNNNNNNNNNNNNNNNNNNNNNNNNNNNNNNNNNNNNNNNNNNNNNNNNNNNNNNNNNNNNNNNNNNNNNNGUCUAUGGCUUAAUGAAUCAUCAUUCGAACAUUGAUUGUGCUACCUAGCCCAUAUUUCGGGUGCACAUUUCAACCAAUGUUUAACUGUGUAUGUUUUCCUCGAGCAUACAUCAUUAAGUCAUUCGAUCUAGCUAAUGUUAUCUCCUUGUUCACAUAGUGGUGGAAAUCCAUCUUUUGGAAAUCUCAAUGGAUUGUCGCUGAGUCAAGCAGUCACCUCCUCACCUCUCCUUGAUUUAAUUAUGAACCCUUGUUCGGAACUCGCUUCCAUAGUUCGUCUCCCGAGAAUCUUCGAUGUCGUUUCGACAAUUUGAGUUGCACCUUUUCUUCUCAGGGAUCCUGAGUCUGAGUUAUCCUGACAUCAAUCAGAUCUGAAUCUCGGUCAGAUAUGAUGGUUGGAACAUAUUUCCAAGAGUUAUAACAUUGGCCUAUUUAUGACCUGGUAAGGUGAUGUCUUGCCUAACACACCUGGCGGGAGGACCUAUUGUUAUAAGUUUUACUUUUUAGCAAGGUUAGCUAUUCUUCCAUGAGGAAAUUGUAAGACUUACUCUAUAAGUUGUUCCUGAUGGAUCCUUUUUGUUUCCAAAGUCUGAUCUUCACCUGUUGACCAUGUCAAUGCUAUCUCGAAGCAUGCCUAUGGUACUCUGAUUUUAAACAGGAACAUUUGAAGCCCAAAGCUAAUUGUUUCCUGCUCAAUUAUCCACACACCGUUGUAUGGGUAAUGUCAUGAAAUUUCUCUCCCGUACCUAAAGAGUUUUCUACAUUAUAUCACGUCAUGGAUAUCGUGCUCUGCUUGUCCUUGGGAAGGAUAUACCCUUGAAAUAUGUGUUUAAACACAUUUUCCUUUCCAUUCUUCUGUUUAAUCUAAUAAUCAUAUUUUCCUUUCCAUUGUUUGGUUUAACCUUUCUGGUGAUCUAUAUGAUCUAAGCAGUAAUAUUCUCCUGCUCAUGUAAACACCUCGGAGUACAACUCUGUCAGUAAGACCCUGUUACUAUUGUUGGUGACAUUUCGGUAACCACUGAUGGACGAGAACUUUGCCUAAUGGUCCGCCUCGUUUGAACGAGCAGGAAAAUGGUUCUCUUCGUCCCUCGCCCUUGGAACCAACGUGUUGCCGACAUAACUGACAGGGUGUUCCCUGACAUGCCUUGCUAUCAUGACUAUGCGAGAUGUCACCGCUCCUAUUUUUAACCCACAUGGUGGGCCCAUAACCCACAGUUCCACAGGAUCGAAACCUGACUCUCUUGUACACCCCUUGUUCCCAAGGUUAUUCCUCACGCUUGGCUUCGUAUGUAAUUCACGUGCCACCUUUCGUGAGAUCAUCAAUUUUGGUAUCAGACACAAUACUUAUUCCCGUUGCUCAGAACCCUUCAGGCAUCAAACGAGUGCCUACCCGCUCGAAACUUCCCCACGAUACCUCCUUACUUUGCUCUCGAUAUUGUCUUAAAUUUCCAUUCGAGAGUUACUUUCCGCCACCUUUCCCGAUGUUAUCAACCAGAUAGUCAACCGUUCAGAGGCCUGUUAUUCCGAAGUUACCCCUUGUCCUUCGUAAGUACGAUGGAGUUCCCGAAGGAAGGAUGCCAGCUUCAUCAUGAUGACCUGAAGCAGGAAAAUGAAGACAUCAACGUAAUGGAUCAACCGCUUUGAGAAUAGCAACCAAGACCGAGAAGACUCGUUAGAAUUUCGCGACCAAAUCCCUUCCCCCUUACUUCCCCUCUUAAAUCUCGGGACGAGAUUUCUUGUAGUGGAGGAGAUUUGUAACACCCUGAGGAUCAUGCUACAGUAACUCUCUGUGAUUAAGCUAAUCAUGUUGCUAAACAGGGCAUGAUCACAUUUGGAAUCGCAUUUCUUUUCAAACUCCUAAUUCAAACUUCAAUUAAAAUUAAAGUGGAAAAUAAAAGUUUUCAAAAAUUUAAACAAAAAUGUUCGGUGGGUGCCAAAUAAUACACUGGUAAUUAUGGUGGAGAAAACACAUUUUUUAAAAUACCUAAAUACUUUUAAAUGAAAUAAAACAGAAAAGAAAAUAAACAAAUAAAAAGAAAAUGCAAAAGAACACAGACAAAGAAAAGAAAAAAAAGGAGAAGGCCCCCCCCACAAAACCCCUGGCCCAACUGGGCCGACCCCCGGCCCAGCCCACCUCUCCCACUCGCCCCCCUUCCCUGUUCCCCCGACCGGGGUCGGAACAGGGGAAGUCCCCGCCGCACCCCCUCGCCGGCGACGGGGAGGAUAAGGUCGCCAGCUCCCCCCGNNNNNNNNNNNNNNNNNNNNNNNNNNNNNNNNNNNNNNNNNNNNNNNNNNNNNNNNNNNNNNNNNNNNNNNNNNNNNNNNNNNNNNNNNNNNNNNNNNNNNNNNNNNNNNNNNNNNNNNNNNNNNNNNNNNNNNNNNNNNNNNNNNNNNNNNNNNNNNNNNNNNNNNNNNNNNNNNNNNNNNNNNNNNNNNNNNNNNNNNNNNNNNNNNNNNNNNNNNNNNNNNNNNNNNNNNNNNNNNNNNNNNNNNNNNNNNNNNNNNNNNNNNNNNNNNNNNNNNNNNNNNNNNNNNNNNNNNNNNNNNNNNNNNNNNNNNNNNNNNNNNNNNNNNNNNNNNNNNNNNNNNNNNNNNNNNNNNNNNNNNNNNNNNNNNNNNNNNNNNNNNNNNNNNNNNNNNNNNNNNNNNNNNNNNNNNNNNNNNNNNNNNNNNNNNNNNNNNNNNNNNNNNNNNNNNNNNNNNNNNNNNNNNNNNNNNNNNNNNNNNNNNNNNNNNUCUCCUCUCGGCCCCUGCGCCUCUCUCUUUCCCCCCCCAGAUCCGCGCCGCUCUCUCCUUCCCCACGCCCGACGUGGUCACCGCUGUUCCCGUCGUUCACACGGCCACCGUGCCCACCUCGCCGCCCCACGUUGUCUCCAAGGACCGCCGUCGCCCGCUGCUUCGUCUGGUGCAGCCCGUUGGAGACCGGAGCCCCUACAACAAGCACACCGAGCUCGUCUUCGACUUCGGACGCCGGCGACCCCCCUUCUUCCCCGGCGCCGACCUGCUGCUCCUAAGCCCCUCACCGGCCUCCGUCUGCCGCGCGGUGAGCCUCUCCCCCUCCUCCCCUGUCCUCUCUCUCUCUCGCGCGCCCCCUAGCGGCGUCCCCACGCGCGCCCGAACGCCGCGCCGCGGAGCUCGUCGCCGGCGGGUCUCCGGUGACCAUUUGGUCAUGGGCGUAGGCCCGUUAGCUUGACCGCAUCGUGCCGCACCCGCCUAGCUAGUUAGUUCGGCCGCUCGCGCGCUCUAACGCCGCACCCGCCCCAGCACGAAGCACUUCGCCGCCGGCGAGCUCGUAGCGCUCGCCCCCGCCCGUUCCAGCCGCUCCGGCCACCACCGUUGGACGCGCGGCGCCGAGCCGCGUCGAACGCGCCCAGCCACGACCCCGCANNNNNNNNNNGUUUGGCUCGUCGGAGUUGCUCCGGCGCCGGCCGCCGACGUGGCUGGCCUGGGGCCCCCCCAGUGCCACUGCCAGUGGGCCCCGUGGGCCCCGUUGACUGGGUCCACCCAGUCAACGUGCUGACUGGGCAGGCCCAGCCACUGACAUGCGGGCCCCGCCGCAAAAAUUAAAAACAAAAACAAAAAGAAAAAUGUUUUAUAAAUAAAAAUAAUUAGAUUAACUAAUCACUCACUGACAUAUGGGGCCCACCCCUCUAAUUAGACUGUUAGUUUAGUUUAAAUUAAUAUUAGACUAACAGAGGCUGACAUGUGGGUCCCACUGGACCCACCUAUCUGGUUUGACUGGUCAGCCGACCUGUUGACCUGCUGACGUCAGCAUUGCCUCAUGCUGACGUCAUAAUUCAUUUUUGCUUAAUUCAAAUAAUUCCAGAAAUUCAAAUAAACUUUGAAAAUUCAUAUCUUUUAAACCGUAACUCGGAUGAAAAUGUUUUCUAUAUGAAAGUUGCUCAGAACGACGAGACGAAUCCGAAUACGCAGUCCGUUCGUCCACCACACCUCCCUAACCUAUCGAACUAGCAACUUUCCCCCUCCGGUCCGUCUGUCCGAAAACGCGAAACAUCGGGAAUACCUCCCGGUUGUUUCCCCCCUUCACCGGUACCAUCUACUGUCGCGUUAGGUCACACCUAGCACCGCUCAUUGUCAUGUCACGCAUCGUCAUGCUUAUGUUUGCAUUGUAUUUACUGUUUCUUCCCCCUCUUCUCUCCGGUAGACUACGAGACCGACACUGCUGCUGCCCAGUUCAACUACGGAGUCGACGACCCCUCCUACUUGCCAGAGCAACCAGGCAAGCCCCCCCUUGAUCACCAGAUAUCGCCUAUGCUUCUCUAUACUGCUUGCAUUAGAGUAGUGUAGCAUGUUACUGCUUUUUGGUAUCCUAUCCUGAUGCAUAGCCUAUCCUUGCUACUACUGUUGAUACCUGUACCUGCAAUCCUACAUGCUUAGUAUAGGAUGCUAGUUUUCCAUCAGUGGCCCUACAUUCUUGUCCGUCUGCUGUGCUAUACUAUCGGGCCGUGAUCACCUGGGCGGUGAUCACGGGUAUAUACUUAUAUACUAUAUACAUGACACAUGAGAUGACUAAAGUCGGGUCGGCUCGUAGGAGUACCCGUGAGUGGAUCUUUGUGGCGGAGCGACAGGGCAGGUUGAGACCGCCUAGGUGAGAGGUGGGCCUGGCCCUGGUCGGCGUUCGCGGUUACUUAACACGCUUAACGAGAUCUUGGUAUUUGAUCUGAGUCUGGCCAUUUGGUCUAUACGCACUAACCAUCUACGUGGGAGUAGUUAUGGGUAUCCCGACGUCGUGGUAUCAGCCGAAGCUCUUUUGACGUCAGCAACUGAGUGGCGCGCGCCGCAUUGGACCGUAAGCUCGCGCUUGUAUUAAGGGGGCUAGGUCUGCUUCCGGCCACGUACGCAACGUGCAGGUGUGCAUAGGGCGAUGGGCCCAGACCCCUGCGCGCAUAGGUUUAGACCGGCGUGUUGACCUCUCUGUUGAGCCUAGGUGGGGCUGCGACGUGUUGAUCUUAGGAGGCCGGGCAUGACCCAGAAAAGUUUGUCCGGCCAAAUGGGAUCGAGCGUGUUGGGUUAUGUGGUGCACCCCUGCAGGGAAGUUUAUCUAUUCGAAUAGCCGUGUCCCUCGGUAAAAGGAUGACCCGGAGUUGUACCUUGACCUUAUGACAACUAGAACUGGAUACUGAAUAAAAUACACCCUUCCAAGUGCCAGAUACAACCCGGUGAUCGCUCUCUAACAGGGCGACGAGGAGGGGAUCGCCGGGUAGGAUUAUGCUAUGCGAUGCUACUUGGAGGACUUCAAUCUACUCUCUUCUAUAUGCUGCAAGAUGGAGAUGGCCAGAAGCGUAGUUUUCGACAGGACUAGCUAUCCCCCUUCUUAUUCUGGCAUUCUGCAGUUCAGUCCACUGAUAUGCCCCUUUACACAUAUACCCAUGCAUAUGUAGUAUAGCUCCUUGCUUGCGAGUACUUUGGAUGAGUACUCACGGUUGCUUCUCUCCCUCUUUUCCCCCUUUCCCUUCUAUCUGGUUGUCGCAACCAGAUGUUGGAGUCCAGGAGCCAGACGCCACCGUCGACGGCGACACCUACGACACUGGAGGUGCCUACUACUACGUGCAGGCCGCUGACGACGACCAGGAGUAGUUAGGAGGUCCCAGGCAGGAGGCCUUGCCUUUUCGAUCGGUGCUACUUUUGUGCUAGCCUUCUUAAGGCAAACUUGUUUAACUUAUGUCUGUACUCAGAUAUUGUUGCUUCCGCUGACUCGUCUAUGAUCGAGCACUUGUAUUCGAGCCCUCGAGGCCCCUGGCUUGUAAUAUGAUGCUUGUAUGACUUAUUUUUGUUGUAGAGUUGUGUUGUGAUAUCUUCCCGUGAGUCCCUGACCUUGAUCGUACACAUUUGCGUGCAUGAUUAGUGUACGGUCAAAUCGGGGGCGUCACAUCCGUGUUCAGCACACGUUCAGCACGAUGACGUCCCUCGAGCUCUUGAUCCAGUUGAGGACGAAGGAGAGUUCCGUCAGCACGACGGCGUGGUGACGGUGAUGAUGAAGUUACCGGCGCAGGGCUUCGCCUAAGCACUACGGCUAAGAGAUUGUCUGUUGUGCUUUGGGAUGCCCCCUUGCCCACGUAUAUAAAGAAGGGGGGAGGAGGAGGCCGGCCAAGGAGGAGGCGCGCCAAGGGGGGAGGCCUACUAGGACUCCAAACCUAGUAGGAUUCGCCCCCCAACUUUCCUUCCAACGGAGAGGAGGAAAGGGGAAAGGAGGGAGAGGGAGAAGGAAAGAGGGGGGCCGCGCCCCUUCCCCUUGUCCAAUUCGGAUUGGGGCAAGGGUGGCGCGCCCCACCUCCUGUGGCCUGCCUCCUCUCCUCUACUAUGGCCCAUUAGGCCCAAUAACUUUCCCGGGGGGUUCCGAUAGCCUCCCGGUACUCCGAUAAAUCUCCGAACCUUAUCGAAACCAUUCCGAUGUCCGUAUAUAACCUUCCAAUAUAUCAAUCUUUACCUCUCGACCAUUUCGAGACUCCUCGUCAUGUCCGUGAUAUCAUCCGGGACUCCGAACAAACUUCGAUCAUCAAAUCACAUAACUCAUAAUACAAAUCUUCAUCGAACGUUAAGCGUGCGGACCCUACGGGUUCGAGAACUAUGUACACAUGACCGAGACACAUCUCCGGUCAAUAACCAAUAGCGGAACCUGGAUGCUCAUAUCGGCUCCUACAUAUUCUACGAAGAUCUUUAUCGGUCAAACCGCAUAACAACAUACGUCAUUCCCUUUGUCAUCGGUAUGUUACUUGCCCGAGAUUCGAUCGUCAGCAUCAUCAUACCUAGUUCAAUCUCGUUACCGGCAAGUCUCUUGCUCGUUCUGUAAUGCAUCAUCCUGCAACUAACUCAUUAGUCACAUUGCUUGCAAGGCUUAUAGUGAUGUGCAUUACCGAGAGGGCCCAGAGAUACCUCUCCGACACACAGAGUGACAAAUCCUAAUCUCGAUCUAUGCCAACUCAACAAACACCAUCGGAGACACCUGUAGAGCAUCUUUAUAAUCACCCAGUUACGUUGUGACGUUUGAUAGCACACAAAGUGUUCCUCCGGUAUACGGGAGUUGCAUAAUCUCAUAGUCAGAGGAAAUGUAUAAGUCAUGAAUAAAGCAAUAUCAAUAAAACUUAACGAUCAUUAUGCUAAGCUAAUAGAUGGGUCUUGUCCAUCACAUCAUUCUCUAAUGAUGUGAUCCCGUUCAUCAAAUGACAACACAUGUCUAUGGUUAGGAAACUUAACCAUCUUUGAUUAACGAGCUAGUCAAGUAGAGGCAUACUAGGGACACUCUGUUUUGUCUAUGUAUUCACACAUGUACUAAGUUUCCAGUACAAUUCUAGCAUGAAUAAUAAAAAUUUAUCAUGAUAUAAGGAAAUAUAAAUAACAACUUUAUUAUUGCCUCUAGGGCAUAUUUCCUUCAGUCUCCCACUUGCACUAGAGUCAAUAAUCUAGUUCACAUCGUCAUGUGGUUUAACACCAAUAGUUCACAUCGCCAUGUGACUAACACCAAAGGGUUUACUAGAGUCAAUAAUCUAGUUCACAUCGCUAUGUGAUUAACACCCAAAGAGUACUAAGGUGUGAUCAUGUUUUGCUUGUGAGAGAAUUUUUGUCAACGGGUUUGUCACAUUCAGAGCCGUAUGUAUUUUGCAAAUUUCUAUGUUUACAAUGCUCUGCAUGGAGCUACUCUAGCUAAUUGCUCCCACUUUCAAUAUGUAUCCAGAUUGAGACUCAGAGUCAUCCGGAUCGGUGUAAAAGCUUGCAUCGACGUAACUCUUUACGACGAACUCUUUAUUACCUCCAUAACCGAGAAAUAUUUCCUUAGUCCUCUUAGGUAACUAAGGAUAACUUUGACCGCUGUCGAGUAAUCCACUCCUGGAUCACUAUCGUACCCUAAUACGUCUCCAACGUAUCUAUAAUUUUUGAUUGUUCCAUGCUAUUAUAUUAUCUGUUUUGGAUGUUUAAUGGGCUUUAAUAUGCUCUUUUAUAUUAUUUUUGGGACUAACCUAUUAACUGGAGGCCCAGUGCCAGUUUCUGUUUUUUUGGCCUAUUUUAGAGUUUUGCAGAAAAGGAAUACCAAACGGAGUCCAAAUGGAAUGAAACCUUCGCGAUGAUCUUUCUUGGACCAAAAGCAAUCCAGAAGACCUGGAGUUGAAGUCUGUAACUCCACGAGGCGGCCACGAGGUAGGAGGGCGCGCCCAGGGGGGUAGGCGCACCCCCACCCUUGUGGGCCCCUCGUAGCUCCACCGACGUACUUCUUUCACCUAUAUAUACUCUUAUACCCUAGAAACAUCGCAGAGAGCCACGAAACCACUUUUCCACCGCCGCAACCUUCUGUACCCGUGAGAUCCCAUCUUGGGGCCUUUUCCGGUGAUCUGCCGGAGGGGGAAUCAAUCACGGAGGGCUUCUACAUCAACACCAUUGCCUCUCCGAUGAAGCGUGAGUAGUUUACCACAGACCUUCGGGUCCAUAGUUAUUAGCUAGAUGGCUUCUUCUCUCUCUUAGUUUCUCAAUACAAAGUUCUCCUCGAUGUCCUUGGAGAUCUAUUUGAUGUAAUACUCUUUUGCGGUGUGUUUGCCGAGAUCCGAUGAAUUGUGGAUUUAUGAACAAGAUUAUAUAUGAAUAUUAUUUGGUUCUUCUCUGAAUUGUUAUAUGCAUGAUUUGAUAUCUUUGCAAGUCUCUUCGAAUUAUCGGUUUAGUUUGGCCUACUAGAUUGAUCUUUCUUGUAAUGGGAGAAGUGCUUAGCUUUGGGUUCAAUCUUGCUGUGUCCUUUCCCAUUGACAUUAGGGGCAGCAAGGCACGUAUUGUAUUGUUGCCAUCGAGGAUAAAAAGAUGGGGUUUAUAUCAUAUUGCUUGAGUUUAUCCCUCUACAUCAUGUCAUCUUGCUUAAUGCAUUACUCUGUUCUUAUGAACUUAAUACUCUAGAUGCAUGCUGGAUAGCGGUCGAUGUGUGGAGUAAUAGUAGUAGAUGCAGAAUCGUUUCGGUCUACUUGACACGGAUGUGAUGCCUAUAUUCAUGAUCAUUGCCUUAGAUAUCUUCAUAAUUAUGCGCUUUUCUAUCAAUUGGUUGGCAGUAAUUUGUUCACCCACCGUAAUACAUGCUAUCUUGAGAGAAGCCACUGUUGGAAAUAUGCCCUAGAGGCAAUAAUAAAUGGUUAUUAUUAUAUUUCUUUGUUCAUGGUAAUUGUCUAUUGUUCAUGCUAUAAUUGUAUUGUCCGGAAAUCAUAAUACAUGUGUGAAUACAUAUACCACAACGUGUCCCUAGUAAGCCUCUAGUUGACUAGCUCGUUGAUCAACAGAUAGUCAUGGUUUCCUGACUAUGGACAUUGGAUGUCAUUGAUAACGGGAUCACAUCAUUAGGAGAAUGAUUUGAUGGACAAGACCCAAUCCUAAGCAUAGCAUAAAAGAUCGUGUAGUUUCGUUUGCUAGAGCUUUUCCAAUGUCAAGUAUCUUUUCCUUAGACCAUGAGAUCGUGCAACUCCCGGAUACCGUAGGAGUGCUUUGGGUGUGCCAAACAUCACAACGUAACUGGGUGACUAUAAAGGUGCACUACGGGUAUCUCCGAAAGUGUCUGUUGGGUUGGCAUGGAUCGAGACUGGGAUUUGUCACUCCGUGUGACGGAGAGGUAUCUCUGGGCCCACUCGGUAAUGCAUCAUCAUAAUGAGCUCUAUGUGACUAAGGCGUUAGUCACGGGAUCAUGCAUUGCGGUACGAGUAAAGAGACUUGCCGGUAACGAGAUUGAACAAGGUAUUGGGAUACCGACGAUCGAAUCUCGGGCAAGUAACAUACCGAUUGACAAAGGGAAUUGCAUACGGGAUUGAUUGAAUCCUCGACAUCGUGGUUCAUCCGAUGAGAUCGUUGUGGAACAUGUGGGAGCCAACAUGGGUAUCCAGAUCCCGCUGUUGGUUAUUGACCGGAGAGGCGUCUCGGUCAUGUCUGCAUGUCUCCCGAACCCGUAGGCGUCUCGGUGACGCUAGGGUUGUAAAGAUAUGUGUAUGCGGAAACCCGAAAGUUGUUCGGAGUCCCAGAUGAGAUCCCGAACGUCACGAGGAGUUCCGGAAUGGUCCGGAGGUGAAGAAUUAUAUAUAGGAAGACAAGUUUCGGCCACCGGGAAAGUUUCGGGGGUUACCGGUAUUGUACCGGGACCACCGGAAGGGUCCCGGGGGUCCACCGGGUGGGGCCACCUAUCCCGGAGGGCCCCUGGGCUGAAGUGGGAAGGGAACCAGCCCCUAGUGGGCUGGGCGCCCCCCCAUGGGCCUCCCCCCUCCGCCUAGGGUUGGAAACCCUAGGGUGGGGGGGCGCCCCACUUGCCUUGGGGGGCAAGUAUUCCCCCUGGCCGCCGCCCCCCCAUCCAGAUGGGAUCCUGGCCGGCGCCCCCCCUCCCAGGGGGCCUAUAUAAAGUGGGGAGGGAGGGCAGCAACAUUACAGCCUUGGGCGCCUCCCUCCUCCCCUGCUACACCUCUCUCUCUCACAGAAGCUCGGCGAAGCCCUGCUGACAUCUCGCUACAUCCACCACCACGCCGUCGUGCUGCUGGAUCUCCAUCAACCUCUCCUUCCCCCUUGCUGGAUCAAGAAGGAGGAGAUGUCACUGCACCGUACGUGUGUUGAACGCGGAGGUGCCGUCCGUUCGGCACUCGGUUAUCGGUGAUUUGAAUCACGGCGAGUACGACUCCGUCAUCCACGUUCAUUGGAACGCUUCCGCUCGCGAUCUACAAGGGUAUGUAGAUGCUCUCCUUUCCCCUCAUUGCUAGUAUACUCCAUAGAUGCAUCUUGGUGAGCGUAGGAAAAUUUUAAAAUUAUGCUACGAUACCCAACAGUGGCAUCAUGAGCCAGGCCUAUGCGUAGUUACUAUGCAUGAGUAGAACACAAAGCAGUUGUGGGCGUUGAUGUUGCCAAUUCUUCUUGCCGCUACUAGUCGUAUCUUUUUUCGGCGGUAUUGUAGGAUGAAGCGGCCCGGACCGACCUUACACGUACGCUUACGUGAGACAGGUUCCACCGACUGACAUGCACUAGUUGCAUAAGGUGGCUAGCGGGUGUCUGUCUCUCCUACUUUAGUCGGAACGGAUUCGAUGAAAAGGGUCCUUAUGAAGGGUAAAUAGAAAUUGGCAAAUCACGUUGUGGUCAUACGUAGGUAAGAAACGUUCUUGCUAGAAACCUACAAGCCACGUAAAAAACUUGCAACUACAAUUAGAGGACGUCUAACUUGUUUUUGCAGCAUGUGUUAUGUGAUGUGAUAUGGCCAGAAGAUGUGAUGAAUGAUAUAUGUGAUGUAUGAGAUUGAUCAUAUUCUUGUAAUAGGAAUCACGACUUGCAUGUCGAUGAGUAUGACAACCGGCAGGAGCCAUAGGAGUUGUCUUUAUUAUUUUGUAUGACCUGCGUGUCAUUGAAUAACGCCAUGUAAAUUACUUUACUUUGUUGCUAAACGCGUUAGCCAUAGAAGUAGAAGUAAUCAUUGGCGUGAUGACUUCAUGAAGACACAAUGAUGGAGAUCAUGGUGUCAUGCCGGUGACGAAGAUGAUCAUGGUGCCCCGAAGAUGGAGAUCAAAGGAGCAUAAUGAUAUUGGCCAUAUCAUGUCACUAUUUGAUUGCAUGUGAUGUUUAUCAUGUUUUGCAUCUUAUUUGCUUAGAACGAUGGUAGUAAGUAAGAUGUUCCCUUAUGAUAAUUUCAAGAAAAGUGUUCCCCCUAACUGUGCACCGUUGCGAAGGUUCGUUGUUUCGAAGCACCACGUGAUGAUCGGGUGUGAUAGAUUCUAACGUUCGAAUACAACGGGUGUUGACGAGCCUAGCAUGUAUAGACAUGGCCUCGGAACACACGCAAUACACUUAGGUUGACUUGACGAGCCUAGCAUGUACAGACAUGGCCUCGGAACACGGAGGACCGAAAGGUCGAGCAUGAGUCGUAUAGAAGAUACGAUCAACAUGGAGAUGUUCACCGAUCUUGACUAGUCCGUCUCACGUGAUGAUCGGACACGACCUAGUUAACUCGGAUCAUGUUUCACUUAGAUGACUAGAGGGAUGUCUAUCUGAGUGGGAGUUCAUUGAGUAAUUUGAUUAGAUGAACUUAAUUAUCAUGAACUUAGUCUAAUCUUUACACUAUGUCUUGUAGAUCAAAUGGCCCACGUUGUCCUCAAUUUCAACGCGUUCCUAGAGAAAACCAAGCUGAAAGAUGAUGGCAGCAACUAUACGGACUGGGUCCGGAACCUGAGGAUCAUCCUCAUAGCAGCCAAGAAAGAUUAUGUCUUAGAAGCACCGCUAGGUGAAUUACCAAUCCCAGAGAACCAAGACGUUAUGAACGCUUGGCAGCAGCGUGCUGAUGAUUACUCCCUUGUUCAGUGCGGCAUGCUUUACAGCUUAGAACCGGGUCUCCAAAAGCGUUUUGAGAAACAUGGAGCAUAUGAGAUGUUCGAGGAGCUGAAAAUGGUUUUCCAAGCUCAUGCCCGGGUCGAGAGAUAUGAAGUCUCCGACAAGUUCUUCAGCUGUAAAAUGGAGGAGAAUAGUUCUGUUAGUGAGCACAUACUCAGAAUGUCUGGGUUACACAACCGCUUGUCUCAGCUGGGAGUUAAUCUCCCGGAUGAUGCGGUCAUUGACAGAAUCCUUCAGUCGCUUCCACCAAGCUACAAGAGCUUUGUGAUGAACUUCAAUAUGCAGGGGAUGGAAAAGACCAUUCCUGAGGUAUAUUCAAUGCUGAAAUCAGCGGAGGUGGAGAUCAGAAAAGAACAUCAAGUGUUGAUGGUGAAUAAAACCACUAAGUUCAAGAAGGGCAAGGGUAAGAAGAACUUCAAGAAGGACGGCAAGGGAGUUGCCGCGCCCGGUAAGCCAGUUACUGGGAAGAGGUCGAAGAAUGGACCCAAGCCUGAGACUGAGUGCUUUUAUUGCAAGGGAAGUGGUCACUAGAAGCGGAACUGCCCCAAAUACUUAGCGGACAAGAUGGCCGGCAACGCCAAAGGUAUAUGUGAUAUACAUGUAAUUGAUGUGUACCUUACCAGUACUCGUAGUAGAUCUUGGGUAUUUGAUACCGGUGCGGUUGCUCAUAUUUGUAACUCAAAACAGGAACUACGGAAUAAACAGAGACUGGCGAAGGACGAGGUGACGAUGCGCGUCGGGAAUGGUUCCAAGGUUGAUGUGAUCGCUGUCGGCACGCUACCUCUGCAUCUACCUACGAGAUUAGUUUUAAACCUCAAUAAUUGUUAUUUAGUGACGGCUUUGAGCAUGAACAUUGCAUCUGGAUCUCGUUUAAUUCGAGAUGGCUACUCAUUUAAAUCCGAGAAUAAUGGUUGUUCUAUUUAUAUGAGAGAUAUGUUUUAUGGUCAUGCCCCGCUGGUUAAUGGUUUAUUCUUGAUGAAUCUGGAAUGUGAUGUUACACAUAUUCAUAGUGUGAAUACCAAAAGAUGUAAAGUUGAUAACGAUAGUCCCACAUACUUGUGGCACUGCCGCCUUGGUCACAUUGGUGUCAAGCGCAUGAAGAAGCUCCAUGAAGAUGGACUUUUGGAGUCUCUUGAUUACGAAUCAUUUGACACGUGCGAACCAUGCCUCAUGGGUAAGAUGACCAAGACUCCGUUCUCCGGAACAAUGGAGCGAGCAACCAACUUAUUGGAAAUCAUACAUACCGAUGUGUGCGGUCCAAUGAGUGUUGAAGCUCGCGGAGGAUAUCGUUAUGUUCUCACUCUCACUGAUGACUUAAGUAGAUAUGGGUUUGUCUACCUAAUGAAACACAAGUCUGAAACCUUUGAAAAGUUCAAGGAAUUUCGGAGUGAGGUUGAGAAUCAACGUGACAGGAAAAUAAAAUUCUUACAAUCAGAUCGUGGUGGAGAAUAUUUAAGUCACGAAUUUGGUGCGCACUUAAGGAAAUGUGGAAUCGUUUCACAACUCACGCCGCCUGGAACACCUCAGCGAAACGGUGUGUCCGAACGUCGUAAUCGCACUCUAUUGGAUAUGGUGCGAUCUAUGAUGUCUCUUACCGAUUUACCGCUCUCAUUUUGGGGCUAUGCUUUAGAGACUGCCGCAUUCACUUUAAAUAGGGCUCCGUCGAAAUCCGUUGAGACGACACCGUAUGAAUUAUGGUUUGGGAAGAAACCUAAGCUGUCGUUUCUAAAAGUUUGGGGAUGCGAUGCUUAUGUCAAGAAACUUCAACCUGAAAAGCUCGAACCCAAGUCGGAGAAAUGCGUCUUCAUAGGAUACCCUAAGGAAACCAUUGGGUACACCUUCUACCUCAGAUCCGAAGGCAGGAUCUUCGUUGCCAAGAACGAGUCCUUUCUGGAGAAGGAGUUUCUCUCGAAAGAAUUGAGUGGGAGGAAAGUGGAACUUGAUGAGGUGAUAGUCACCCCUUCCGAACCGGAAAGUAGCGCAGCGCGGGAAGAUGUUCCUGUGGUGCCUACACCGACUGGGGAGGAAGUUAAUGAUGAUGAUCAUGAAGCUUCGGAUCAAGUUACUACUGAACUUCAUAGGUCCACAAGGACACGUUCCACACCAGAGUGGUACGGCAACCCUGUCCUGGAAAUCAUGUUGUUAGACAACGGUGAACCUUCGAACUAUGAAGAAGCGAUGGCGGGCCCGGAUUCCGACAAAUGGCUAGAAGCCAUGAAAUCCGAGAUAGGAUCCAUGUAUGAAAACGAAGUAUGGACUUUGACUGACUUGCCCGAUGAUCGGCGAGCCAUAGAAAACAAAUGGAUCUUUAAGAAGAAGACGGACGCGGAUGGUAAUGUGACCAUCUACAAAGCUCGACUUGUCGCUAAGGGUUAUCGACAAGUUCAAUGGGUUGACUACGAUGAGACUUUCUCACCCGUGGCGAAGCUGAAGUCCGUCCGAAUCAUGUUAGCAAUUGCCCAUACUAUGAUUAUGAGAUAUGGCAGAUGGACGUCAAAACGACAUUCCUUAACGGCUUCCUUAAGGAAGAGUUGUAUAUGAUGCAGCCGGAAGGUUUUGUCGAUCCUAAGAAUGCUAACAAAGUAUGCAAGCUCCAGCGCUCAAUCUAUGGGCUGGUGCAAGCAUCUCGGAGUUGGAACAUUCGCUUUGAUGAGAUGAUCAAAGCGUUUGGGUUUACACAGACUUAUGGAGAAGCCUGUGUUUACAAGAAAGUGAGUGGGAGCUCUGUAGCAUUUCUCAUAUUAUAUGUGGAUGACAUAUUAUUGAUGGGAAAUGAUAUAGAAUUCUUGGAAAGUAUAAAGGCCUAUUUGAAUAAGUGUUUUUCAAUGAAGGACCUUGGAGAAGCUGCUUAUAUAUUAGGCAUCAAGAUCUAUAGAGAUAGAUCAAGACGCCUCAUUGGUCUUUCACAGAGUACAUACCUUGACAAGAUAUUGAAGAAGUUCAAUAUGGAUCAGUCCAAGAAGGGGUUCUUGCCUGUAUUGCAAGGUGUGCAAUUGAGCACGGCUCAAUGCCCGACCACGGCAGAAGAUAGAGAAAAGAUGAGUGUCAUCCCCUAUGCCUCGGCCAUAGGGUCUAUUAUGUAUGCCAUGCUGUGUACCAGACCUGAUGUAAACCUUGCCGUAAGUUUGGUAGGAAGGUACCAAAGUAAUCCCGGCAUGGAACACUGGACAGCGGUCAAGAAUAUCCUGAAGUACCUAAAGAGGACUAAGGAUAUGUUUCUCGUUUAUGGAGGUGACGAAGAGCUCGUCGUAAAGGGUUACGUCGACGCUAGCUUCGACACAGAUCUGGAUGACUUGAAGUCACAAACCGGAUACAUGUAUAUUUUGAAUGGAGGAGCAGUAAGCUGGUGCAGUUGCAAGCAAAGCGUCGUGGCGGGAUCUACAUGUGAAGCGGAGUACAUGGCAGCCUCGGAGGCAGCGCAGGAAGCAGUCUGGAUGAAGGAGUUCAUUACCGACCUAGGGGUGAUUCCCAAUGCGUCGGGCCCGAUGACUCUCUUCUGUGACAACACUGGAGCUAUUGCCCUUGCGAAGGAGCCCAGGUUUCACAGGAAGACCAGGCAUAUCAAGCGUCGUUUCAACUCCAUAUGUUAAAGUGUUCAAAAUGGAGACAUAGAUAUUUGUAAAGUACAUACGGACCUGAAUGUAGCAGAUCCGUUGACUAAAUCUUUCCCUAGAGCAAAACAUGAUCAACACGAGGACGCAAUGGGUGUUCGAUUCAUCACAAUGUAGCUAGAUUAUUGACUCUAGUGCAAGUGGGAGACUGUUGGAAAUAUGCCCUAGAGGCAAUAAUAAAUGGUUAUUAUUAUAUUUCUUUGUUCAUGGUAAUUGUCUAUUGUUCAUGCUAUAAUUGUAUUGUCCGGAAAUCGUAAUACAUGUGUGAAUACAUAGACCACAACGUGUCCCUAGUAAGCCUCUAGUUGACUAGCUCGUUGAUCAACAGAUAGUCAUGGUUUCCUGACUAUGGACAUUGGAUGUCAUUGAUAACGGGAUCACAUCAUUAGGAGAAUGAUGUGAUGGACAAGACCCAAUCCUAAGCAUAGCAUAAAAGAUCGUGUAGUUUCGUUUGCUAGAGCUUUUCCAAUGUCAAAUAUCUUUUCCUUAGACCAUGAGAUCGUGCAACUCCCAGAUACCGUAGGAGUGCUUUGGGUGUGCCAAACGUCACAACGUAACUGGGUGACUAUAAAGGUGCACUACGGGUAUCUCCGAAAGUGUCUGUUGGGUUGGCAUGGAUCGAGACUGGGAUUUGUCACUCCGUGUGACGGAGAGGUAUCUCUGGGCCCACUCGGUAAUGCAUCAUCAUAAUGAGCUCUAUGUGACUAAGGCAUUAGUCACGGGAUCAUGCAUUGCGGUACGAGUAAAGAGACUUGCCGGUAACGAGAUUGAACAAGGUAUUGGGAUACCGACGAUCGAAUCUCGGGCAAGUAACAUACCGAUUGACAAAGGGAAUUGCAUACGGGAUUGAUUGAAUCCUCGACAUCGUGGUUCAUCCGAUGAGAUCGUCGUGGAACAUGUGGGAGCCAACAUGGGUAUCCAGAUCCCGCUUUUGGUUAUUGACCGGAGAGGCGUCUCGGUCAUGUCUGCAUGUCUCCCGAACCCGUAGGCGUCUCGGUGACGCUAGGGUUGUAAAGAUAUGUGUAUGCGGAAACCCGAAAGUUGUUCGGAGUCCCAGAUGAGAUCCCGGACGUCACGAGGAGUUCCGGAAUGGUCCGGAGGUGAAGAAUUAUAUAUAGGAAGUCAAGUUUCGGCCAUCGGGAAAGUUUCGGGGGUUACCGGUAUUGUACCGGGACCACCGGAAGGGUCCCGGGGGUCCACCGGGUGGGGCCACCUAUCCCGGAGGGCCUCGUGGGCUGAAGUGGGAAGGGAACCAGCCCCUAGUGGGCUGGGCGCCCCCCAUGGGCCUCCCCCCUCCGCCUAGGGUUGGAAACCCUAGGGUGGGGGGCGCCCCACUUGCCUUGGGGGGCAAGUAUCCCCCCUGGCCGCCGCCCCCCCAUCCAGAUGGGAUCCUGGCCGGCGCCCCCCCUCCCAGGGGGCCUAUAUAAAGGGGUGGAUGGAGGGCAGCAACAUUACAGCCUUGGGCGCCUCCCUCCUCCCCUGCUACACCUCUCUCUCUCGCAGAAGCUCGGCGAAGCCCUGCCGACAUCCUGCUACAUCCACCACCACGCCGUCGUGCUGCUGGAUCUCCAUCAACCUCUCCUCCCCCCUUGCUGGAUCAAGAAGGAGGAGACGUCGCUGCACCGUACGUGUGUUGAACGCGGAGGUGCUGUCCGUUCAGCACUCGGUCAUCGGUGAUUUGAAUCACGGCGAGUACGACUCCGUCAUCCACGUUCAUUGGAACGCUUCCGCUCGCGAUCUACAAGGGUAUGUAGAUGCACUCCUUUCCCCUCGUUGCUAGUAUACUCCAUAGAUGCAUCUUGGUGAGCGUAGGAAAAUUUUAAAAUUAUGCUACGAUACCCAACAGCCACUAGUGAAACCUAUGGCCCCUGGGUCUCUUUCUUAUUAUAUUGCAUCUCUUUUAUUUACAUCGCAUCUCGUUUACUAUUUUGCAAUCUUUACUUUCCAAUCUAUACAACAAAAAUACCAAAAAUAUUUAGUUUACUAUCUUUAUUAGAUCUCACUUUUGCGAGUGACCAUGAAGGGAUUGACAACCCCUUUAUCGCGUUGGUUGCAAGGUUCUUGAUUGUUUGUGCAGGUACUAGGUGACUUGUGCAUUGUCUCCUACUGGAUUGAUACCUUGGUUCUCAAAACUGAGGGAAAUAUUUACGCUACUUUGCUGCAUCACCCUUUCCUCUUCAAGGGAAAACCAACACAUGCUCAAGAGGUAGCAUACCCCUUUGCCAAACUCAUGGCAAGGUACACAAUAGGUCUGGUACACAGCAUAGCAUACUUUAUAGAACCUAUGGCUGAGGCAUAGGGAAUGACUUUCAUUCUCUUUCUAUUUUCUGCCGUGGUAGUGUUUUGAGUCUUACUCAACUUCAUACCUUACAACUCAGGCAAGAACUCCUUCUUUGACUGAUCCAUUUUGAACUCCUUCAAAAUCUUAUCAAAGUAUGUACUCAUCGAAAGUCUUAUCAAGCGUCUUGAUCUAUCUUUAUAGAUCUUGAUGCCCAAUAUGUAAGUAGCUUCACUGAGGUCUUUCUUUGAAAAAUCCUUUCAAACACUCCUUUAUACUUUCCAGAAAAUUCUACAUCAUUUCCGAUCGACAAUAUGUCAUUCACAUAUACUUACCAAAAAUGCUGUAGUGCUCCCACUCACUUUCUUGUAAAUACAAGUUUCACCGCAAGUCUGUAUAAAACUAUAUGCUUUGAUCAACUCAUCAAAGCAUAUAUUCCAACUCCGAGAUGCUUGCACCAGUCCAUAGAUGGAUCGCUGGAGCUUGCAGACUUUGUUAGCACUUUUAGGAUUGAGAAAACCUUCUGUUUGCAUCAUAUACAACUCUUCUUUAAUAAAUCCAUUAAGGAAUGCAGUUUUUGACAUCCAUUUGCCAGAUUUCAUAAAAUGCGGCAAUUGCUACCAUGAUUCGGACAGACUUUAAGCAUAGAUACGAGUGAGAAACUCUCAUCGUAGUCAACACCUUGAACUUAUUGAAAACCUUUUCCGACAAUUCGAGCUUUGUAGAUAGUAACACUACUAUCAGCGUUCGUCUUCCUCUUGAAGAUCCAUUUAUUCUCAAUGGCUUGCCGAUCAUUGGGCAAGUCAAUCAAAGUCCACACUUUGUUCUCAUACAUGGAUCCCAUCUCAGAUUUCAUGGCCUCAAGCCAUUUCGCGGAAUCUGGGCUCAUCAUCGCUUCCUCAUAGUUCGUAGGUUCGUCAUGGUCUAGUAACAUGACUUCCGAAACAGGAUUACCGCACCACUCUGGUGCGGACUGUACUCUGGUUAACCUAAGAGGUUCGGUAGUAACUUGAUCUGAAGUUUCAUGAUCAUCAUCAUUAGCUUCCUCACUAAUUGGUGUAGGAAUCACUGGAACUGAUUUCUGUGAUGAACUACUUUCCAAUUCGGGAGAAGGUACAAUCAAGUUCUACUUUCCUCCCACUCACUUCUUUCGAGAGAAACUCUUUCUCUAGAAAGGAUCCAUUCUUAGCAACGAAUAUCUUGCCUUCGGAUCUGUGAUAGAAGGUGUACCCAACAGUUUCCUUUGGGUAUUCUAUGAAGACACAUUUCUCCGAUUUGGGUUCGAGCUUAUCAGGUUGAAGCUUAUUCACAUAAGCAUCGCAGCCCCAAACUUUAAGAAACGACAGCUUAGGUUUCUUUCCAAACCACAGUUCAUAUGGUGUCGUCUCAACGGAUUAGAUGGUGCCCUAUUUAACGUGAAUGCAGUUGUCUCUAAUGCAUAACCCCAAAACGAUAGUGGUAAAUCGGUAAGAGACAUCAUAUAUCGCACCAUAUCCAAUAAAUACGGUUAUGACGUUGGGACACACCAUUACGCUGUGGUGUUCCAGGUGGCGUGAGUUGUGAAACUUAUUCCACAUUGUUUUAGAUGAAGGCCAAACUCGUAACUCAAAUAUUCUCCUCCAUGAUCAGAUGGUAGAAACUUUAUUUUCUUGUUACGAUGAUUCUCCACUUCACUCUGAAAUUCUUUGAACUUUUCAAAUGUUUCAGACUUGUGUUUCAUUAAGUAGAUAUACCCAUAUCUGCUCAAAUCAUCUGUGAAGGUAAGGAAAUAACGAUACCCGUCGCAAGCCUCAACACUCAUAGGACCGUAUACAUCGGUAUGUAUUAUUUCCAAUAAGUCAUUGGCUCGCUCCAUUUUACGGAAAACAGAGUUUUAGUCAUCUUGCCCAUGAGGCAUGGUUCGCAUGUAUCAAAUGAUUCAUAAUCAAGUGAUUCCAAAAGUCCAUCUGCAUGGAGUUUCUUCAUGCGCUUUACACCAAUAUGACCUAAAUGGUAGUGCACUAAAUAUGUUGCACUAUCAUUAUCAACUUUGCAUAUUUUGGCAUCAAUAUUAUGUGUAUCACUGCAAUCGAGAUUCAGUAAACCAUUUACAUUGGAUGUAAGACCAUAGAAGGUUUUAUUCAUGUAAAUAGAACAACAAUUAUUCUCUGACUUAAAUGAAUAACCGUAUCGCAAUAAACAUGAUCCAAUCAUAUUCAUGCUCAACGCAAACACCAAAUAACAUUUAUUUAGUUCCAAUACUAAUCCCGAAGGUAGAGGGAGUAUGCGAUGGUGAUCUUAUCAACCUUGGAAUCAUUUCCAACACACAUCGUCACCUCGCCCUCAACUAGUCUCUAUUCAUUUUGUAACUCAUGUUUCGAGUUACUAAUCAUAGUAACUGAACCGGUAUCAAAUACCCAGGGGCUACUAUGAACACUAGUAAAGUACACAUCAAUAACAUGUAUAUCAUAUAUACUUUUGUUCACUUUGCCAUCCUUCUUAUCCGCCAAGUAUUUGGGGCAGUUCCGCUUCCAGUGACCAUUUCCUUUGCAGUAGAAGCACUCAGUUUCAGGCUUGGGUCUAGCUUUGGGCUUCUUUAUGGGAGUGGCAACUUGCUUGCCAUUCUUCUUGAAGUUCCCUUUCUUUCCUUUGCCCUUUUACUUGAAACUAAUGGUCUUGUCAACCAUCAACACUUGAUGCUUUUCUUGAUUUCUAUCUUUGUCGGUUUCAGCAUCGCGAAGAGCUUGGGAAUCGUUUUUGUCAUCCCUUGCAUAUUAUAGUUUAUCACAAAGUUCCAGUAACUUGGUGAUAGUGACUAGAGAACUCUAUCAAUCACUAUCUUAUCUGGAAGAUUAACUCCUACUUGAUUCAAGCGAUUGUAGUACUGAGACAUUCUAAGCACAUGCUCACUGGUUGAGCUAUUCUCCUCCAUCUUGUAGGCAAAAUACUUGUCAGAGAUCUCAUACCUCUCGACUCGGGAAUUAGUCUAAAAAUACCAAUUUCAGCUCUUGGAACAUCUUAUAUGCUCCGUGGCAUUCAAAACGUUUUUGAAGUCCCGGUUCUAAGCCGUAAAGCAUGGCGCACUAAACUAUCAAGUAGUCAUCAUACCGAGCUUGCCAAAUGUUCAUAACGUCUGCAUCUGCUCCUGCAAUAGGUCCGUCACCUAGCGGUGCAUCAAGGACAUAAUUCUUCUGUGCAGCAAUGAGGAUAAUCCUCAGAUCACGGACCCAGUCCGCAUCAUUGUACUAUCAUCUUUCAACUUAUAUUUCUCUAGGAACAUAUAAAAAAUAAACGGGGAGCUACAUCGCAAGCUAUUGAUCUAUGACAUAUCAAAUACUAUCAGGACUAAAUUUAUGAUAAAUUAAAGUUCAAUUAAUCAUAUCACUUAAGAACUCCCACUUAGAUAGAUAUCCCUCUAGUCAUCUAAAUGAUCACGUGAUCCAUAUCAACUAAUAAACCAUGUCCGAUCAUCACGUGAGAUGGAGUAGUUUUCAAUGGUGAACAUCUCUAUGUUGAUCAUAUCUACUAUAUGAUUCACGUUCGACCUUUCGGUCUCAGUGUUCCGAGGCCAUAUCUGCAUAUGCUCGGCUCGUCAAGUUUAACCCGAUUAUUCUGCACGUGCAAAACUGGCUUGCACCAGUUGUACGUGAACGUAGAGCUUAUCACACCCGAUCAUCACGUGGUGUCUCGGCACGAUGAACUGUAGCAACGGUGCAUACUCAGGGAGAACACUUAUACCUUGAAAUUUAGUGAGGGAUCAUCUUAUAAUGCUACCGCCGAACUAAGCAAAAUAAGAUGCAUACAGGAUAAACAUCACAUGCAAUCAAAAUAUGUGACAUGAUAUGGCCAUCAUCAUCUUGUGCCUUUGAUCUCCAUCUCCAAAGCACCGUCAUGAUCUCCAUCGUCACCGGCUUGGCACCUUGAUCUCCAUCAUAGCGUCGUUGUCGUCUCGCCAAUUGUUGCUUCCACGACUAUCGCUACCGGUUAGUGAUAAAGUAAAGCAAUUACAUGGCGAUUGCAUUUCAUACAAUAAAGCGACAACCAUAAGGCUCCUGCCAGUUGCCGAUAACUUUUACAAAACAUGAUCAUCUCAUACAACAAUUUAUAUCUCAUCAUGUCUUCACCAUAUCACAUCACAACAUGCCCUGCAAAAACGAGUUAGACGUCCUCUACUUUGUUGUUGCAAGUUUUACGUGAAUGCUACGGGCUUCUACCAAGAACCGUUCUUACCUAUGCAUCAAAACCACAAUGAUUUUUCGUCAAGUGUGCUGUUUUAACGUUCAACAAGGACCGACCGUAGUCAAACUCGAUUCAACUAAAGUUGGAGAAACAGACACCCGCUAGCCACCUGUGUGUGAAGCACGUCGGUAAAACCAGUCUCAUGAACACGGUCACGUAAUGUCGGUCCGGGCCGCUUCAUCCAACAAUACCGCCGAAUCAAAGUAAGACAUUGGUGGUAAGCAGUAUGACUAUUAUCGCCCACAACUCUUUGUGUUCUACUCGUGCAUAUCUACGCAUAGACCUGGCUCGGAUGCCACUUUUGGGGAACGCGGUAUUUUAAAAAAUUUCCUACGAUCACGCAAGAUCUAUCUAGGAGAUGCAUAGCAACGAGACGGGAGAGUGUGUCCACGUACCCUCGUAGACCGAAAGCGGAAGCGUUUAGUAACGCGGUUGAUGUAGUCGAACGUCUUCACGAUCCAACCGAUCCAAGCACCGAACGUACGGCACCUCCGUGUUCAUCACACGUUCAGCACGAUGACGUCCCUCGAGCUCUUGAUCCAGUUGAGGACGAGGGAGAGUUCCGUCAGCAUGACGGCAUGGCGACGGUGAUGAUGAAGUUACCGGUGCACGGCUUCGCCUAAGCACUACGACGAUAUGACCGAGGUGUUAAACUGUGGAGGGAGGCACCGCACACGGCUAAGAGAUUGUCUGUUGUGCUUUGGGGUGCCCCCUUGCCCACUUAUAUAAAGGAGGGGGAAGGAGGCCGACCAAGGAGGAGGCGCGCCAAGGGGGGGGAGUCCUACUAGGACUCCAAACCUAGUAGGAUUCGCCCCCCUUUCCUUCCAACGGAGAGGGGGAAAGGGGAAAGGAGGGAGAGGUAGAAGGAAAGAGGGGGGUCGCGCCCCUUCCCCUUGUCCAAUUUGGAUUGGGGAAAGGGGGGCAUGACCCACCUCUUGUGGCCUGCCUCCUCUCCUCCACUAUGGCCCAUUAGGCCCAAUAACUUUCCCGGGGGGUUCCGAUAGCCUCCCGGUACUCCGAUAAAUCCCCGAACUUUAUCGGAACCAUUCCGAUGUCCGUAUAUAACCUUCCAUAUAUCAAUCUUUACCUCUCGACCAUUUCGAGACUCCUCGUCAUGUCCGUGAUCUCAUCCUGGACUCAGAACAAACUUCGGUCAUCAAAUCACAUAACUCAUAAUACAAAUCAUCAUCGAACGUUAAGCGUGCGGACCCUACGGGUUCGAGAACUAUGUAGACAUGACCGAGACACAUCUCCGGUCAAUAACCAAUAGCGGAACCUGGAUGCUCAUAUUGGCUCCUACAUAUUCUAAGAAGAUCUUUAUCAGUCAAACCGCAUAAUAGCAUACGUCAUUCCCUUUGUCAUCGGUAUGUUACUUGCCCAAGAUUCGAUCGUCGGUAUCAUCAUACCUAGUUCAAUCUCGUUACCAGCAAGUCUCUUUACUCGUUCCGUAAUGCAUCAUCCCACAAAUAACUCAUUAGUCACAUUGCUUGCAAGGCUUAUAGUGAUGUGCAUUACCGAGAGGGCCCAGAGAUACCUCUCUGAUACACAGAGUGACAAAUCCUAAUCUCAAUCUAUGCCAACUCAACAAACACCACCGGAGACACCUGUAGAGCGUCUUUAUAGUCACCCAGUUACGUUGUGACGUUUGAUAGCACACAAAGUGUUCCUUCGGUAUUCGGGAGUUGCAUAAUCUCAUAGUCAGAGGAAUAUGUAUAAGUCAUGAAGAAAGCAAUAGCAAUAAUACUUAACUAUCAUUAUGCUAAGCUAACGGAUGGGUCUUGUCCAUCACAUCAUUCUCUAAUGAUGUGAUCCCGUUCAUAAAAUGACAACACAUGUCUAUGGUUAGGAAACUUAACCAUCUUUGAUUAACGAGCUAGUCAAGUAGAGGCAUACUAGGGACACUCUGUUUUGUCUAUGUAUUCACACAUGUACUAAGUUUCCUGUUAAUACAAUUCUAGCAUGAAUAAUAAACAUUUAUCAUGAUAUAAGGAAAUAUAAAUAACAACUUUAUUAUUGCCUCUAGGGCAUAUUUCCUUCAAAAACUAGACCAUCUUGAGGUAGAGGAGGCAUCAUAAACAUAAAACGAUACUCACUCCGUCUCGGUUUAUAGGGCGUGCACGUAGUUCUUGGUCAUCCAUUUGACAAAUUAAAUAUGAUUUAUAUGUCACAAAAAGUAUAUCAUUGGAUUCUUAAGCAGAUGUGGUUUUUAAACAUAUAUUUUUCAUCACAUAUAAUACAUAUAUAUAUAUAGCUAGUUAAAUUCUCAACCUAGAACGACGUACAUGCCCUGUAAACCGAGACGGAGGAAAUACGAGAGUGAAUGAGUGUCCUCACCAGUAGUAAUGACUAGUUGAACAUUAAACUCGUAUUGUGGGUCUGUGGCCAAGAGGUAACUUAAUUUUUGUUAUCGCAAAAAAGAAGCUAAAUACUUUAAACACACGAACCAGUACGAACCAAAAUGAACAAACUUCAUGUUUUUGUUGCAAUUAGUUACCAUUUUCAGUGCUCAGGACAGCUAAACAAAAGGAAAGUGCUAUACCUGCACCUCGGCGCGAGUCCCGCAAGCGAAACACACCGGUCGAGAGACCUCGGAAGAAGAAGAAAACCUCCGGCCACCCCGAAACUACCCUCGAUGACCUCCUGGAUAAACCAUGCCCAAUACAUGCUAUUAUGCUCAAUUCCCGCCCGACUCACAGCCUUCGCGACUGCUGGGUUGUGAGGUAGGUGGCUAAAGGAGGACCCGCCCUUCUGGUAGACAGCCCCAGCCACGCAGAAUAGUCCUCGGACGAAGACGAGGUCAUGAUGAUUUACGAGACCUUCACAUCCAACAACCGGCGCAAAUGAGCCAUGCGGGAAAUCAAUUCUAUCCGACAGGUGCCAACUCGGGGCGCGUGAAUAGACACGCCGAUCACCUUUGAUCACAAAGAUCAACCGAGGUCGACCCUGAACAGGUGCCCCACCGCACUGGUCCUCAACCCAAUUGUGGGUAGCUGCUGACUUCGGAAGGUGCUCAUGGACGAAGGCAGCAGCUUAAAUUUGAUAUGUGCAGACACUCUGGACAAAAUGCAUAUCGAUAAAUCACGCAUAGAACAGAGUGGCACCGUCCGCUGGUUGCUUGUGUUGUUGGUUGAUGUUUGACCUCUAUAGAAGAGACAAAAAAGUGAUCAUGCUUCCUUUAAUUCGACGUUUUUUCAUCGUACGUGAGCUCUUUUCUUUGAUAUUUUUAAUAAUGCACAUGACCUGGUGACUUGCGAUUUUUUUUCUUUUCGAGCCCGGCCACGUGUAGUCCUUGUUGACCUUUUGUUUUUGCGCGGACGGGGCCGAAGGCCAUGCUGCAGUAGUAAAUCACGUGAUGUGCACCGCGACCAAGAUGGAGGGGAAAACGAGAGAACUUAAUGUCUUUUUGCUAAUUAAUAGUAUUGCAUGCAAUGGACUAACAACUGCAUGUCAUGUUUGUUAGUCUCAAGUCACAAAAAGCAUGUACAUCCCACAUCUCUUAUUGGUUGAUAUGUCGUGGAACAAGAAAAGAGGAGGGAGUUUAUGUACCGUGUCUAAAUGUUUUGGAAUUAUUUGGUUUCGUAAGGUGACUUGUACGCCUAGACGGAGGGAGUACUAGAAUUAUCGACUGCACCUUGGAGUUUUCCCACGCGUUGCUUGAUUCCAGUGGAUGAGAAAAUUCUGUGGAUUUGUAGUAGCCCUGCUUGCACCUUGGAACUUGGUCUUGUGAGGUCAGCUUGUUAGAAAUAAUACUUUAGGAUUAUUGUAAUAGGAUCAUUUGCCUAGCAUUAGAUCACCCAGAUAUGAUUAACAGAGUGGUUCGUGAGAUCUUACAGGCUCUCUCGUUGCAGGCACAGCGUGGCCCAUGAUCUCCAGUGGCGAGGAUGAGCAACAGCAGUGGUGCUGCAGUGAUGUAGUUGUGGAGAGACAGCCGCUCAUCCAGGAGCUUCGCCGGUGGCAGCAGGAAGCCGCCGGCACAGCCCUGCGGCGGCCGGCGAGAUGGCCUUCUGAUCCCCGUUAGCACCCUUUUAGGAUAGGUUGUUAGGAGUCGUGGUUUUUUGGUAUGUGUGUAUCAGAGCCCUUCAUGGGUACGACUUCCUCCUUUUAUAUCUGGCGCUAGGUGGAUCAGGGACCAAAACCAAAAGUCGGGUAUGGGUGCAUCCGAUCAGACCACAAUCGUUAGAGGAGGAGACUUUGUCUCCCAUAUUUUUCUCUCGGUUAAAAACAAUAACCUGAGAUCAAUCCCAACAUUCUCCCCCUUGACCGUAAGGUUAAUAAACAUCAUAAGCCCACUCUCAAUAGAAAUAAUAUACCAAAGUAAGGUGUUGCAAUGCCCCAAAAAAUGUCACUGAACCUCAACCCUUAUAGUAUACCAUUCUAUCUUGAAAUGGAUACCAUUUUACUUUAUGGGAGUUGGUUUAUUUAAUGGUCCUAAUUUCCAGGAUCAAACGGCUUUAUGAACCCAUGCCGACAACAUAAUCAUAAAAUGGGUAAAUGGUAAGCCUUAGUAAGUGGAACCGCAAAAGCUUAGAAAUAAAAUCUUAUGUUUGAUCCUGGCCUCUAUCUUUCACAACAGAGACAUAAUGUCAAUGGCUUUGGCAAUACCAUUUAACUUGUUGUUACUCGCAUAGAAAAUUGCGUGUUCAUAUUGCAGUAAGUGGUUACAAAAUGCUGUCUACCACCAUAAUUUCUUGAAUAAAGCUUCUUGACAUACAAUCUGCCCAAUAGCCUCUUAACAUGCCACAUAAGAAAGUGCAUUACUUCUAAUGCCAUUAGUGUCAUUAUAGAGCUUUUCCACGAUAUACUUCCAUAUGCGAGAGUGAGGAUGUAACAUAGCGUGGAAACUUUAAGAUCCACACAUCUUGCAGAAACAAUGUCUGAAUAUCCUAGGAUAUCGAAGUUAUUAGUGAGCAUGCAAACUUUAUUGUCUUGCAUGUCAGCAAGACAUUGGGUGGCUUUUCUAGUGGCCAUUUCUGGACUUACUUGUAUGUUUGCCAAUUAUCCCGAUCACAAACAAGGGCAUGUUCAUAGUUGAAUACACAUAUUGCUUCUGACAGCUGAAGCAUAAGGAACCGACAUUAUCUGAUCAGUUCAUAAUGGUCCCUUGGACACUAAAAUGUCCACCUUUAUUGCCCUUGACUUUAGUAGCAGGUGCGAUAAGAGUACUAGCACAUAAUAUUUUCUUUCGUACUCUAUCGAUGUAUGUCAUCAUAACAAAGCUACACUCCUUUUCGACCUAUAUCUUGGUGAAAUUCAACACAAGCAAAAUAUGAGGCAUCACCAAGAUAAUUUAUGUCGUAAAUAGAAGAUAGAAAUUUUUGGCUCACAAAAAAUAUUCCAUCUUCACAAGGUAGUGAUCUUACUCCCCCUCGUUUUAUAGUAUGAGUGUCCCAACGCUUGUAUUAUCUCAUAAUUGUAUUUCUUUAGAUAACAUACCUUAUGUCAACUUCAACCAUGACAAAACCGUAUGGUUGAGUCAUACAUACAUUCUCAACUAAGUCAACACAAGAGCAUGUCAUAGUAAUAACACAAGCGGCACAACAACUCACUAAGAAAAUUCUAUGGAGUUCCAUACAUCAUUAGAGCUCAUAAUCUUCAUCCUAUAUGGCAACAAGCCACUAAGAUGAUCAUUCACACACAUUAUCAAUCAUAGGGAAAUUGGUGAGUCUCAACACCAAGUGUUGCUUUAGGUAUUUUUCUCUCAAUUUACCUGAUGCAUAUGAACAAAGAUCUAAUGGAGUUAUCCUUAAGAUUAAUGUUCAAAUGCUCCAGGUUCCCUGAUGAUCACUUUAUUUAGAAGAUGGAAAAUAUAUCCAAAAUCUUGAUAACAAUCAUCUCAGUUCUAAACCACAACACCGUUGGGCUGAAGAUGGAAAAGAACAUAAUGAACUGUGACAAAUGAUUAUAAACGAUGUUAGUCAGAAAUAUAACCACAAGACACAUGAUACUGACAAACUUGCCUCUUGGGUGAAGUGUCACAUAUGAUUAUAACCGACGUUGGUCAGAUAUAUAAUCAACAUGUUACAUCAUGAUGGUACUUAGACUAGCAAGCUUGCCACUUUAGCAUUCAUGUGUGCUUCGUAAUGCUCAUAAGGGACUAAGUACACACUAACAUGAUAAAGAAGUCAUUUUUUAUUCAUUCUUCUAAAUAAGACUUGUUGCAUCUUAAUUAGAGAACCAACAUUAGAAAGUGCUUUUCAUACAUUCUCCAACCAAGACUUCUCGUUGGUUCCAUCUUAAUUAGAGAAUUGAGAUACAUAUUUUGCUUAGUUGUACAUGCUAUGAUCUAAGUAGGAGAAGUGAAUGUGAUUUCUCAUAUUAAAAGAGACUUCCAUUCUCCCCUUCAAAAUGUGGUGUAAAACCACAAUUUUGAUGAGGCCUCUUUAAUUACACUUCUCUUACAUUGUAACGCCCCGAGACCGAUGCUCCAGAAGACUUUCAGAUGCUCUGAGUUUCGUCGUGUGAUUUGUUUUGUUUGUUGCAUCCCUUGCAUUGCAUCAUGUCAUCAUGCAACCUUUAAAAAAAAACUCAACUGAAUAAAUUGCAUGGAUCUUUGAUCCAUUUAAAU
rnacentral:lncRNA from 1 species